UACAGAGGGGGCAAGCGUUGUUCGGAAUUACUGGGCGUAAAGGGCACGUAGGCGGCCUGUUAAGUCGAACGUGAAAUCCCCGGGCUCAACCCGGGAACUGCGUCCGAUACUGGCAGGCUUGAAUCCGGGAGAGGGAUGCGGAAUUCCAGGUGUAGCGGUGAAAUGCGUAGAUAUUGGGAAGAACACCGGUGGCGAAGGCGCUCUACUGGGCCAUAACUGACACUGAUGGACGAAAGCUAGGGGAGCGAAAGGG
rnacentral:rRNA from 1 species